rnacentral:rRNA from 1 species
UACAGAGGUCUCAAGCGUUGUUCGGAUUCAUUGGGCGUAAAGAGCUCGUAGGCGGCUUGGCAAGUCGGGUGUGAAAUCUCCGUGCUCAACACGGAGCGGCCACCUGAUACUGCUGUGACUCGAGUCCGGUAGGGGAGUGUGGAAUUCCCGGUGUAGCGGUGAAAUGCGCAGGAUAUCGGGAGGAACACCAGUAGCGAAGGCGGCACUCUGGGCCGUGACUGACGCUGAGGAGCGAAAGCGUGGGUAG